UACGUAGGUGGCAAGCGUUGUCCGGAUUUACUGGGCGUAAAGAGCGCGCAGGCGGUCGUUCAAGUCGCGUGUGAAAGCCCCCGGCUCAACUGGGGAGGGUCACGCGAUACUGAUCGACUCGAAGGCAGGAGAGGGUAGUGGAAUUCCCGGUGUAGUGGUGAAAUGCGUAGAUAUCAGGAGGAACACCUGCGGUGUAGACAGCUUACUGGACCAUCACUGACGCUGAGGCACGAAAGCGUGGGUAGCAAACAGG
rnacentral:rRNA from 1 species